rnacentral:rRNA from 1 species
CACGUAGGGUGCGAGCGUUGUCCGGAAUUAUUGGGCGUAAAGAGCUCGUAGGCGGUGUGUCGCGUCGGCCGUGAAAACCUGCAGCUUAACUGUGGGCUUGCGGUCGAUACGGGCAUCACUGGAGUUCGGCAGGGGAGACUGGAAUUCCUGGUGUAGCGGUGAAAUGCGCAGAUAUCAGGAGGAACACCAAUGGCGAAGGCAGCUCGCUGGGACGGUACUGACGCUGAGACGCGAAAGCGUGG